rnacentral:rRNA from 1 species
UUCCGGUUGAUCCUGCCGGACCUGACUGCUAUCGGAUUGAUACUAAGCCAUGCGAGUCUUUGUAGUAAUACAAGGCAUACGGCUCAGUAACGCGUAGUCAACCUACCCUAUGGACAAGAAUAAUCUCGGGAAACUGAGCAUAAUUCUUGAUAGAUCAUAAUGCCUGGAAUGGUUUAUGGUUAAAAUGAUUCGUCGCCAUAGGAUGGGACUGCGGCCUAUCAGCUUGUUGGUGAGGUAAUGGCCCACCAAGGCGAUUACAGGUACGGGCUCUGAGAGGAGAAGCCCGGAGAUGGGUACUGAGACACGGACCCAGGCCCUAUGGGGCGCAGCAGGCGAGAAAACUUUGCAAUGUGCGAAAGCACGACAAGGUUAGUCCGAGUGAUUUCUGCUAAAGAGAUCUUUUGCUAGUUAUAAAACCACUAGUGAAUAAGGGGUGGGCAAGUUCUGGUGUCAGCCGCCGCGGUAAAACCAGCACCUCAAGUGGUCAGGAUGAUUAUUGGGCCUAAAGCAUCCGUAGCCGGCUCUGUAAGUUUUCGGUUAAAUCUAUGCGCUCAACGUAUGGGCUGCCGAAAAUACUGUAGAGAUAGGGAGUGGGAGAGGUAGACGGUACUCGGUAGGAAGGGGUAAAAUCCUUUGAUCUAUCGAUGACCACCUGUGGCGAAGGCGGUCUACCAGAACACGUUCGACGGUGAGGGAUGAAAGCUGGGGGAGCAAACCGGAUUAGAUACCCGGGUAGUCCCAGCUGUAAACGAUGCAGACUCGAUGAUGCAUUGGCAUAUAGCCAGUGCAGUGUCGCAGGGAAGCCGUUAAGUCUGCCGCCUGGGAAGUACGUACGCAAGUAUGAAACUUAAAGGAAUUGGCGGGGGAGCACCACAAGGGGUGAAGCCUGCGGUUCAAUUGGAUUCAACGCCGGG